rnacentral:rRNA from 1 species
AGUUUGAUCCUGGCUCAGGAUGAACGCUAGCGGCAGGCCUAAUACAUGCAAGGUCGAGGGCAGCGCGGUAGCAAUACUGGCGGCGACCGGCGCACGGGUGCGUAACACGUAUGCAACCUACCUUCAACUGGAGGAUAGCCCGGGGAAACUCGGAUUAAUACUCCAUAACACAGGGAUCCCGCAUGGGAAUAUUGUUAAAGCUACGGCGGUUGAAGAUGGGCAUGCGUUCGAUUAGCUAGUUGGUGUAGGUAACGGCUCACCAAGGCUACGAUCGAUAGGGGGUCUGAGAGGAUGAUCCCCCACACUGGUACUGAGAUACGGACCAGACUCCUACGGGAGGCAGCAGUAGGGAAUAUUGGUCAAUGGGCGCAAGCCUGAACCAGCCAUGCCGCGUGCAGGAAGAAGGCCCUCUGGGUUGUAAACUGCUUUUGAUAGGGAACAAAUGCCACUUGCGAGUGGAGCUGAGUGUACCUAUAGAAUAAGCACCGGCUAACUCCGUG